GUGCUCUUUGGCAGUAUAUAUACUAAAAUAAGAAGACACAGAGACAGUUAUCAAAGCCUCUGUGCAAUGAUGAUACACAAAUUCAUGAGGCAUUGUGUGUUUUA
rnacentral:snRNA from 1 species